UUCAAUCCUGGGAGUGGGGAAGGUGGCCACAGAUGGGUUCGAAGAGAACAGAAACAGAGGGGGCAAGAUUGGAGUGGUCGAGCGAGGAAAUUCCAGAGGUUCCCAAACACCAGCGCCAGCACGAGCAGCACAAGCCAAGCAGGAUGUUGCUCUCCAGCAGGAUUCAGGGUUGAACAGCAUCAUGACACAAUUCAUGUAUUCCUCCGCGGAUUGGCUGGCUCGUAGAGUAACAUUGUCAGAGUUUGGGGAGCGGGGCAUCUGGAUCAUCGCUGGUGCACAGGGAAGUGAAGAAGAAAAAUAAGAAAAUGUAAGAGAUAAGAAACAAAUAUACAACAAUAAAAGCAUGAUUUAUUUGGGAUUUUUGAAUAACUUGCUGCGAAUGGUGACCCUACAUAACACUCUCCAUUGUCCUCAUAAACUAUUUAUUCC